rnacentral:lncRNA from 1 species
AAAAUAUAAAUUUUUUUAUUUAAUUUCAAAAGUAAGUUUUCUAUAACAGAUUACCGGUGUGAAAAUCCUAUAAAAGAUAUUUUCCUAUUUUAUUUUAAAAUAUCUUUUUUAGAUAUUAUCUAUUUAAUUUCAAAAUAUAUUUUCUUUUUAAGAUAACGGAUUUUAUUUUUCUACUUAAUUUAAAAAAUUUAUUUCCUAACGGAUUUUAUUUUUCUAUUUAAUUUCAAAAGUAAUUUUUGCAUUAGAGAUUAUUGUUAAUUAUUUAUCAUUUAAAGCAUAUCUUUCUUAAUAGCGUGAUUUAUUAUUUUAAAUUUUUUAGAUACAUAUUUGGCAAUUAUAUAAAAUAUGGCCUAAAAUUAAAAAAUAAUUUUAAAAAAUUAUAACUUCUUCUAAUAAUUAUUACGUGCAUUUGUACGUACAUUUUACUAGUAUAUAUAUAUAUAGUUUUGAUUUAUAUAUU